rnacentral:rRNA from 1 species
AUUGAACGCUGGCGGCAGGCCUAACACAUGCAAGUCGAGCGAGCGGCGGACGGGUGAGGAAUGUCUGGGAAACUGCCUGAGGGAGGGGGAUAAAUACUGGAAACGGUAGCUAAUACCGCAUACCAUCAGAUGUGCCCAGAUGGGAGUAGCUAGGAGGUGGGGUAACGGCUCACCUAGGCGACGAUCCCUCGCUGGUCUGAGAGGACGACCAGCCACACUGGAACUGAGACACGGCCCAGACUCCUACGGGAGGCAGCAGUGGGGAAUAUUGCACAAUGGGCGCAAGCCUGAUGCAGCCAUGCCGCGUGUAUGAAGAAGGCCUUCGGGUUGUAAAGUACUUUCGGCGGGGAGGCGUUACCUGCAGAAGAAGCACCGGCUAACUCCGUGCCAGCAGCCGCGGUAAUAC